rnacentral:rRNA from 1 species
UACGGAGGGGGGCUAGCGUUGUUCGGAAUUACUGGGCGUAAAGCGCACGUAGGCGGCUUUGUAAGUUAGAGGUGAAAGCCCGGGGCUCAACUCCGGAAUUGCCUUUAAGACUGCAUCGCUAGAAUUGUGGAGAGGUAAGUGGAAUUCCGAGUGUAGAGGUGAAAUUCGUAGAUAGUUACGGAAGAACACCAGUGGCGAAGGCGACUUACUGGACACAUAUUGACGCUGAGGUGCGAAAGCGUGGGGAGCAAACAGG